GGGAUUCCCUUAGUAACGGCGAGCGAAAAGGGAAAUGUCCAGCGCCAAGUCUUGACAUGUUUGAUGUUCAAGAGAUGCGGCGUUAAUGUAUCGACCCAUCAUGCAUUGUUCUUUGUUUCAAGUUCCUACGACCGGGACUUCCAGAGCGGGUGUAAGACCCAUAGAGACGAGGAACCAGUGUAUGCUGAGCGAUGCAUUCUAGAGUCAGGUUGCUUGAGAGUGCAGCUUAAAGUCGGUGGUAAACUCCAUCCAAGACUAAAUAUUACAGCGAGACCGAUAGCAAACAAGUACCGUGAGGGAAAGUUGCAAAGCACUUUGAAGAGAGAGUUCAAAAGUACGUGAAACCACUGGGAGGCAAACAGAUGGAACCACGAAGUUUGCGUCUCGGUCGAUUCAAUCAUCACUAUUUGUCAAUUGUCAGUGGUCAGGAUCUUUUAGGAGGUUGACCUUUGGCAAUUCUGAUGAAUGGUGUUGGUGCAUUUCGUGCCGGGAAUGCUAAGCCACGUUCAACUAGAGUUGGGACGGCUGUAAGAAAGGAUCCGAGAAAGGUUGCCGUCAAGUGCUUGCAUUUGACGGUGUUAUAGUCUUGGAUCGGAACCGUCGCCUAACAUACUGGUUGAUGAAAAUUCUCCAUUUGGAGUUGAACUAUAUCUGCCUGCGGUUGUUAGUCGAUGUUGCGUAAUGUUCUUUGCGUAUCUUUCGAUGCGAAAAGGCUUUGCAAAAAUGUCGGCUAAUGGCUGUUUGCGUGAUAUGGUGGAACUGUGGCACGAGUAGGUCGGUCUCCAUCU
rnacentral:rRNA from 1 species